ensembl:snoRNA SNORD15 Small nucleolar RNA SNORD15
CUUCAGUGAUGAGCCGAUGACGAGUCGGAAUGGGACAGUGUCUCGUCUUUGAGAAGUCUGGGUCAAGGGUCACGUUCUGUGCUUCUGACUUCAGUUUCUCAGAGUAGCAUGUUCCUUUCGGUUGAAGACAUUGAGGCAUUUGUCUGAGAAGG